UACGUAGGCAGCGAGCGUUGUUCGGAGUUACUGGGCGUAAAGAGUGCGUAGGCGGUUUUCUAAGUUUGGUGUGAAAUCUCCCGGCUUAACUGGGAGGGUGCGCCGAAAACUGGAAGGCUUGAGUAUGGGAGAGGUAAGCGGAAUUCCUGGUGUAGCGGUGAAAUGCGUAGAUAUCAGGAGGAACACCUGCGGUGUAGACGGCUUACUGGACCAUAACUGACGCUGAGGCACGAAAGCGUGGGUAGCAAACAGG
rnacentral:rRNA from 2 species